ACGCUCGACACCUACGGGAGCAGCAGUGGGGAAUAUUGGGCAAUGGGCGCAAGCCUGACCCAGCAACGCCGCGUGAAGGAAGAAGGCCCUCGGGUUGUAAACUUCUUUUAACAGGGACGAAGUAAGUGACGGUACCUGUUGAAUAAGCCACGGCUAACUACGUGUCAGCAGCCGCGGUAAUCUGAGCGGGCUGGCAAGGC
rnacentral:rRNA from 1 species